rnacentral:lncRNA from 1 species
AAUACACCACAUUUUUAAUAUGGGCUCACAUAAUUAUAUUGUCUAUGUUAAUACAUGACUAAUUGUAUACAAAUUCUACAACUGCGGAGUCACUAACUAAUAGAUAUACAUAGAUUUUUAUACAUCUAGAUACAUAGCAAAAUAUUUAUUGGUCUAGGAAAAUUUUCUUUCUAGCUCUACGACGAAGGAACAUAGCUUAACCGAAUUAAAGAGAAACUUA